rnacentral:rRNA from 1 species
UACGGGGGGGGCAAGCGUUGUUCGGAAUUACUGGGCGUAAAGGGCUCGUAGGUGGCCAACUAAGUCAGACGUGAAAUCCCUCGGCUUAACCGGGGGAACUGCGUCUGAUACUGGCGGGCUUGAAUCCGGGAGAGGGAUGCGGAAUUCCAGGUGUAGCGGUGAAAUGCGUAGAUAUCUGGAGGAACACCGGUGGCGAAGGCGGCAUCCUGGACCGGCAUUGACGCUGAGGCGCGAAAGCUAGGGGAGCAAACGGG